rnacentral:tRNA from 2 species
AAGACUUUAAGUUAAAUAAACUAAAAACCUUCAAAGUUUUAAAUAGGUAGUCCCUAAGUCUUG